rnacentral:rRNA from 1 species
CCCUUAGAUGUCCUGGGCCGCACGCGCGCUACACUGAGUGUCUGAGAUACGAGUCUGCCUGGUCCGGCAAGGUCUAGGUAAUCGCUAAAAGACACAUCAUGCUUGGGAUAGAUUAUUGCAAAUAUUAAUCUUGAACGAGGAAUUCCUAGUAAGCGCGAGUCAUCAGCUCGUGCUGAUUACGUCCCUGCCCUUUGUACACACCGCCCGUCGCUCCUACCGAUUGAGUGUUCCGGUGAAUAAUUCGGACUGCAGUAGCGUGGGGACUCCUCACCUGCAGCGGAAAGUUUGGUGAACCUUAACACUUAGAGGAAGGAGAAGUCGUAACA